UCUCUGUUUCCUCACAAGCAAAGCCAGGAGCUCUCCUGAUCUGGUGACCCGGCUAUGAGUGACCAUCAAGAAAGGGACGGGGUCUGAAGGUCAUAAGACUCAGGGACAAACUGCUGCCCAGUGUCCCCCUGGUGGAUUCAAGGUUUCAGGUCACAGUUCUCUACUCAUGCCCUGUGGAGUCUGUUUUGGAAUUUUCUUUUGAAACAAAAAUCACUGUGCCCAAGCUUAAAAACAAAACCAAACCACAAAAACAAACUAUGAAGAGAAUAUUUAACUUAUACUCCAGAAAAAAAGCAAAUGGAAGGUAAGAGGAAAGAAUAAACUUUUUUACCCUUGGCUUUUAUACCUUGUUAUUCCUAAAAACUUUUUCUAAAGAUUUCCAGAUCUAUGAUCUCAGAUCACCCUCAUAUCAACUCCGUGGGAUAAUUAUGCAAUGUCUGAACCAGCUCGCUAUAGGAUCUCGAUACCAGCCCAACUCCUCGGUCUUAGGAGAGGAGUGAAGAGGCGGGACUCACGUGGAUGGUCAAAAGUAAGAGACUGGGAAGGACAAGGGCAAAGCCUGAUCUUUGCUAAGAACUGAUAAAUGCAGACGAGUGCAAAGGAGCCAGACAAAGAAAAGACAAAGUGCUCCGGUAUUUUUGCCAAGAAAGCCCAAAUGGGGUCACCCAGAGUCCUAUGUGAUUGAC